CCUACGGGAGGCAGCAGUGAGGAAUAUUGGUCAAUGGACGAGAGUCUGAACCAGCCAAGUAGCGUGAAGGAUGACUGCCCUAUGGGUUGUAAACUUCUUUUAUAAAGGAAUAAAACGAGGCACGUGUGCCUUUUUGCAUGUACUUUAUGAAUAAGGAUCGGCUAACUCCGUGCCAGCAGCCGCGGUAAUACGGAGGAUCCGAGCGUUAUCCGGAUUUAUUGGGUUUAAAGGGAGCGUAGAUGGGUUGUUAAGUCAGUUGUGAAAGUUUGCGGCUCAACCGUAAAAUUGCAAUUGAUACUGGCAGUCGUGAGUACAGUUGAGGUAGGCGGAAUUCGUGGUGUAGCGGUGAAAUGCUUAGAUAUCACGAAGAACCCCGAUUGCGAAGGCAGCUUACUAAACUGUGACUGACAUUGAUGCUCGAAAGUGUGGGUAUCAAACAGGAUUAGAGACCCGAGUAGUC
rnacentral:rRNA from 1 species